rnacentral:rRNA from 1 species
UACGUAGGGUGCAAGCGUUAAUCGGAAUUACUGGGCGUAAAGCGUGCGCAGGCGGUUCGCUAAGACAGAUGUGAAAUCCCCGGGCUUAACCUGGGAACUGCAUUUGUGACUGGCGGCUAGAGUAUGGCAGAGGGGGUAGGAAUUCCACGUGUAGCAGUGAAAUGCGUAGAGAUGUGGAGGAAUACCGAUGGCGAAGGCAGCCCCCUGGGCCAAUACUGACGCUCAUGCACGAAAGCGUGGGGAGCAAACAGG